UACGAAGGGGGCUAGCGUUGCUCGGAAUGACUGGGCGUAAAGGGCGCGUAGGCGGUUCAUACAGUCAGAUGUGAAAUUCCCGGGCUUAACCUGGGGGCUGCAUUUGAUACGUGUGGGCUUGAGUGAGGAAGAGGGUUGUGGAAUUCCCAGUGUAGAGGUGAAAUUCGUAGAUAUUGGGAAGAACACCGGUGGCGAAGGCGGCGACCUGGUCCUUGACUGACGCUGAGGCGCGAAAGCGUGGGGAGCAAACAGG
rnacentral:rRNA from 1 species